CCUACGGGAGACAGCAGUGAGGAAUAUUGGUCAAUGGACGAGAGUCUGAACCAGCCAAGUAGCGUGAAGGAUGACUGCCCUAUGGGUUGUAAACUUCUUUUAUAUGGGAAUAAAAUGUUCCACGUGUGGGAUUUUGUAUGUACCAUAUGAAUAAGGAUCGGCUAACUCCGUGCCAUCAGCCGCGGUAAUACGGAGGAUCCGAGCGUUAUCCGGAUUUAUUGGGUUUAAAGGGAGCGUAGGUGGAUUGUUAAGUCAGGUGUGAAAGUUUGCGGCUCAACCGUAAAAUUGCAGUUGAAACUGGCAGUCUUGAGUACAGUAGAGGUGGGCGGAAUUCGUGGUGUAGCGGUGAAAUGCUUAGAUAUCACGAAGAACUCCGAUUGCGAAGGCAGCUCACUGGACUGCAACUGACACUGAGGCUCGAAAGUGUGGGUAUCAAACAGGAUUAGAUACCCGAGUAGUC
rnacentral:rRNA from 1 species